GCUUGUCUCAAAGAUUAAGCCAUGCAUGUCUAAGUAUAAGCAAUUAUACCGUGAAACUGCGAAUGGCUCAUUAAAUCAGUUAUCGUUUAUUUGAUAAUACCUUACUACUUGGAUAACCGUGGUAAUUCUAGAGCUAAUACAUGCUGAAAAUCCCGACUUCGGAAGGGAUGUGUUUAUUAGAUAAAAAACCAAUGCCCUUCGGGGCUCCUUGGUGAUUCAUGAUAACUUUACGGAUCGCAUAGCCUUGCGCUGGCGACGGUUCAUUCAAAUUUCUGCCCUAUCAACUUUCGAUGGUAAGGUAUUGGCUUACCAUGGUUUCAACGGGUAACGGGGAAUUAGGGUUCGAUUCCGGAGAGGCAGCCUGAGAAACGGCUACCACAUCCAAGGAAGGCAGCAGG
rnacentral:rRNA from 1 species